rnacentral:rRNA from 1 species
UUCUUGGAUUUAUUGAAGACUAACCUACUGCGAANUNCANGGGCCAAGGAUGUUUUCAUUAAUCAAGAACCGAAAGUUNUUANAGGGNAGACGAUCAGAUACCGCGUGCGUAGUCUUAACCCAUAAACCUAUGCCGACCUAGGGAUCCGGAUGAUUAUANCCNA